rnacentral:rRNA from 1 species
GUAGGGCGGGACACGUGGUAUCCUGUCUGAAUAUGGGGGGACCAUCCUCCAAGGCUAAAUACUCCUGACUGACCGAUAGUGAACCAGUACCGUGAGGGAAAGGCGAAAAGAACCCCGGCGAGGGGAGUGAAAAAGAACCUGAAACCGUGUACGUACAAGCAGUGGGAGCCUCUUUAUGGGGUGACUGCGUACCUUUUGUAUAAUGGGUCAGCGACUUAUAUUCUGUAGCAAGGUUAACCGAAUAGGGGAGCCGAAGGGAAACCGAGUCUUAACUGGGCGUUAAGUUGCAGGGUAUAGACCCGAAACCCGGUGAUCUAGCCAUGGGCAGGUUGAAGGUUGGGUAACACUAACUGGAGGACCGAACCGACUAAUGUUGAAAAAUUAGCGGAUGACUUGUGGCUGGGGGUGAAAGGCCAAUCAAACCGGGAGAUAGCUGGUUCUCCCCGAAAGCUAUUUAGGUAGCGCCUCGUGAAUUCAUCUCCGGGGGUAGAGCACUGUUUCGGCAAGGGGGUCAUCCCGACUUACCAACCCGAUGCAAACUGCGAAUACCGGAGAAUGUUAUCACGGGAGACACACGGCGGGUGCUAACGUCCGUCGUGAAGAGGGAAACAACCCAGACCGCCAGCUAAGGUCCCAAAGUCAUGGUUAAGUGGGAAACGAUGUGGGAAGGCCCAGACAGCCAGGAUGUUGGCUUAGAAGCAGCCAUCAUUUAAAGAAAGCGUAAUAGCUCACUGGUCGAGUCGGCCUGCGCGGAAGAUGUAACGGGGCUAAACCAUGCACCGAAGCUGCGGCAGCGACACUAUGUGUUGUUGGGUAGGGGAGCGUUCUGUAAGCCUGUGAAGGUGGCCUGUGAGGGUUGCUGGAGGUAUCAGAAGUGCGAAUGCUGACAUAAGUAACGAUAAAGCGGGUGAAAAGCCCGCUCGCCGGAAGACCAAGGGUUCCUGUCCAACGUUAAUCGGGGCAGGGUGAGUCGACCCCUAAGGCGAGGCCGAAAGGCGUAGUCGAUGGGAAACAGGUUAAUAUUCCUGUACUUGGUGUUACUGCGAAGGGGGGACGGAGAAGGCUAUGUUGGCCGGGCGACGGUUGUCCCGGUUUAAGCGUGUAGGCUGGUUUUCCAGGCAAAUCCGGAAAACCAAGGCUGAGGCGUGAUGACGAGGCACUACGGUGCUGAAGCGACAAAUGCCCUGCUUCCAGGAAAAGCCUCUAAGCAUCAGGUAACAUCAAAUCGUACCCCAAACCGACACAGGUGGUCAGGUAGAGAAUACCAAGGCGCUUGAGAGAACUCGGGUGAAGGAACUAGGCAAAAUGGUGCCGUAACUUCGGGAGAAGGCACGCUGAUAUGUAGGUGAAGCGACUUGCUCGUGGAGCUGAAAUCAGUCGAAGAUACCAGCUGGCUGCAACUGUUUAUUAAAAACACAGCACUGUGCAAACACGAAAGUGGACGUAUACGGUGUGACGCCUGCCCGGUGCCGGAAGGUUAAUUGAUGGGGUUAGCGGUAACGCGAAGCUCUUGAUCGAAGCCCCGGUAAACGGCGGCCGUAACUAUAACGGUCCUAAGGUAGCGAAAUUCCUUGUCGGGUAAGUUCCGACCUGCACGAAUGGCGUAAUGAUGGCCAGGCUGUCUCCACCCGAGACUCAGUGAAAUUGAACUCGCUGUGAAGAUGCAGUGUACCCGCGGCAAGACGGAAAGACCCCGUGAACCUUUACUAUAGCUUGACACUGAACAUUGAGCCUUGAUGUGUAGGAUAGGUGGGAGGCUUUGAAGUGUGGACGCCAGUCUGCAUGGAGCCGACCUUGAAAUACCACCCUUUAAUGUUUGAUGUUCUAACGUUGGCCCGUAAUCCGGGUUGCGGACAGUGUCUGGUGGGUAGUUUGACUGGGGCGGUCUCCUCCUAAAGAGUAACGGAGGAGCACGAAGGUUGGCUAAUCCUGGUCGGACAUCAGGAGGUUAGUGCAAUGGCAUAAGCCAGCUUGACUGCGAGCGUGACGGCGCGAGCAGGUGCGAAAGCAGGUCAUAGUGAUCCGGUGGUUCUGAAUGGAAGGGCCAUCGCUCAACGGAUAAAAGGUACUCCGGGGAUAACAGGCUGAUACCGCCCAAGAGUUCAUAUCGACGGCGGUGUUUGGCACCUCGAUGUCGGCUCAUCACAUCCUGGGGCUGAAGUAGGUCCCAAGGGUAUGGCUGUUCGCCAUUUAAAGUGGUACGCGAGCUGGGUUUAGAACGUCGUGAGACAGUUCGGUCCCUAUCUGCCGUGGGCGCUGGAGAACUGAGGGGGGCUGCUCCUAGUACGAGAGGACCGGAGUGGACGCAUCACUGGUGUUCGGGUUGUCAUGCCAAUGGCACUGCCCGGUAGCUAAAUGCGGAAGAGAUAAGUGCUGAAAGCAUCUAAGCACGAAACUUGC